UGUGUGUACAGUGAGCUUGUCUGUAGUAAGCAUGUGUGUGAUCGUGAGCUUGUCUGUAGUGAGCAUGUGUGUGUCAGUGAGCUUGUCUGUAGUGAAUCUGUGUGUUAGUGAGCUCUUCUGUAGGGAGCAUGUGUGUGUCAAUGGGCUUGUCUGUAGGGAGAGUGUGUGCGCAUCAGUGAGCUUGUCUGUAGUGAGCGUGUGUGUGUGACAGUGAGCUUGUCUGUAGUAAGCUUGUGUGUGUGUUAGAGUUU